GUUGUCCACAUAUCUCAGGAACCACUUCACAUAUCGGGUGAAGGGGAUCCGGAGAGUGUGGACAUACGUUAAUUCAAAAAUUGCAAGAUACAUGUUUGCUAAAGUACAUGAAACAGGGGACCCCACUGGGGUCCCGUGUGUUUAUACCAAGUAUUGUCACAAAUAAUCUGGGGAGCACGCAGGAGUUUUCUUUAGGGUUUUAAAAACAUAAAAUAUUGCCGCCACACCAGGACGACAAUUUACUACUGCAGUGAUGAAUACAAUCAUAAUGUUAUUAUAUAAAAACCAGCAUAUACUGUAGAGACAAAUAUCUCCAUUAUACAAGGGAAAAAUAAUUACACCACACCAUGAGCCAUAUAGGGACUGGAUAAUACCACCAUACUGAUAUUGAAUAAAGCCACUAUACACAGACCAGUAUCACUAAUAGCACCACUAUACAAGGGACAAAUGAUUCUAAUGUACCAUGACUACACAUUACUACUAGAGAUGAACACAUUUUUUUAUUUGUUUUGAUCCGAAUCUCUAUUAAACACUGCUAUUUCCGGCCUACAGAGAGCCUCAAUAGGGGUGUAGAACACUUUGCCUUGUCCUAACACGCAUAGGGAGUGUGCAAUGUUAGUGAAAUUAUACUGUUAUUCAGUAUGACAUGCAGAUUACAGGCAUCACUAUUAGAAUCACUGCCACAGAGCGUCUGGAUGUGGCAGCAGGGUAACAAGACUAUAUGGCAUCACAAUUGAAGAGAUUUAAGAGAUAUUUUAUGUAAUUUUUAUUUUUAUUUUAUUUGAAUUAAUUUUAAUUUUUUUAAAUCCUUUUUUGAGGACCUAUUCUGGUGAGCAUCGAGCUAGCGGUCCACCACGAGGCGAGCUACAACCUGUUCCAAACCCCUGCCUCUCAUCACUCCUACCUGUUUCAUUGGAUUCUUGUGGUAAUUCCAGAGGUGAGAAAAAAAGUAACAAAGCUCUAUUUAUGUAACAAGGACUUCAAAGACAAGGGGACACCUCGGCGACGCGGCGACAAUGAUGGACGGCGACAUUCCGGGCAGCGGUCACGAGCGGUGAUGGUCUGGAGCGGCGGGGACAAUUUCUGGUAUGGUAAUGAGAGACAAUACCUCACAUCGUCCAGGAGAUAUAUUCAUCGCUGUGAGAUAUAGGAAGAUUCCUGAGAACUGCGGCGAUCAACUCAGUGAGAACUGACAAGAACUGAAUGAGCCUUGAAAUGAUUUUCUCCAAGAAAAUGUUCCUUCUGCCUGACAUUUUAUACGUUUAUAUAUUAGUUUUUACUAUG